CAAGACCAAACAAAAUUGGCCUUUCUUAAUGUCUUUGCUCCGUUCCCAUUACACGUCAACGAGCAAAGAGGGGCAGCAGUAACGGGCCAAUUUUAUCUGGCCUAGAGAAAAAACCAAAAAAAAUAGAUAAAUUAAAAAUAAACAAAUCUUACAAGCCCAAACUAAGCCCAAAAUACAUCACCUAACCCAAAACCCUAAUACCCAAUAACCC
rnacentral:lncRNA from 1 species